rnacentral:rRNA from 1 species
AUUGAACGCUGGCGGCAUGCUUUACACAUGCAAGUCGAACGGUAACAGGCCGCAAGGUGCUGACGAGUGGCGAACGGGUGAGUAAUGCAUCGGAACGUGCCCAGUCGUGGGGGAUAACCGCUCGAAAGAGCAGCUAAUACCGCAUACGAUCUAUGGAUGAAAGCGGGGGACCGUAAGGCCUCGUGCGAUUGGAGCGGCCGAUGUCAGAUUAGGUAGUUGGUGGGGUAAAGGCUCACCAAGCCAACGAUCUGUAGCUGGUCUGAGAGGACGACCAGCCACACUGGGACUGAGACACGGCCCAGACUCCUACGGGAGGCAGCAGUGGGGAAUUUUGGACAAUGGGGGCAACCCUGAUCCAGCAAUGCCGCGUGCAGGAAGAAGGCCUUCGGGUUGUAAACUGCUUUUGUACGGAACGAAACGGUCUGGGUUAAUACCCUGGGCUAAUGACGGUACCGUAAGAAUAAGCACCGGCUAACUACGUGCCAGCCGCCGCGGUAAGAC